rnacentral:rRNA from 1 species
UCUCCUAGUAACUGCGAGUGAAGGGAGAAAAGCCCAGCGCUGAAUCCUAUAGCUGGAAACGGUUGUGGGAGCUGUAGCGUGAAGAAGGUGUAUAACCAUGACAGUCAAUACACGUAAGUCUCCCUGAGUGGAGCUCCAUCCCAAGGAGGGUGCAAGGCCCGUAUCGUGUUUGACGCGUGAUGGUAUAGCAUUUUCAGAGAGUCGGGUUGUUUGGGAUUGCAACCUAAAGCCGGUGGUAAACUCCAUCGAAGGCUAAAUAUGACCACGAGUCCGAUAGCGAACAAGUACCGUGAGGGAAAAUUGAAAAGCACUUUGAAGAGAGAGCGAAAUAGUGCGUGAAACCGCUUAGAGGCAAGCAGAUGGGGCCUCGAAGGUAGAGCAGCGAAUUCAGCUUGCAUUUCUGCUAGACUACUGUCGGCUGCGAGAUCGUAAGACUCCUGUCGAUGUAGGGUGUAUAGUGGAAUGUGAGUGCACUUUCGCUGUUUGUACGCCACCGCCGUUAAAGUGCAUCCGCUGUGGUCUUGUGUGAGGCCUUGAGUGGCUUGCUGCUCAAGUCACCUACGCUUGGCUAUAUAUACAGUGCGUUUGUGUCUUAACCGGGCAAGUUAUUCGUGCGCUAGCAUCCUUCUAACCGGGGG